GACCGAGCUAGAAUUGGAAUCUUGGCCAGGUAAUUCCAGAUGUUUCACUCUUAACCAUUCUAUAGAAUCAGCACCCAUCUUUGAGUCAGAGUUUGAGAUGCAAAUCCUUUACUGUAUAGCCUUGAUCAAAUGACUUCACCUCAUUGAAUUAAUCUUCUUCUGCAUAAAAUGGGGUCACCAUCUGCUUAUCUAAAUUGUUACAAAUGGGACAGUAUAUGUGCCAUUCCAGAUACCUAAUCACAGCUCAAUCGAUGCUGGUGUCUUUUUCCUUUUUCCUUCUGCAGAAAACAUGCUUUACAUAGGAUCUCUGAACUUAAAGAAUGGGAAGAAGAAAAAUCAUGUUUCCAGCUUGGGCUGCUGUUUCAUCUGUUGGACUUGCUUGAUCCCUGAAUGGAAAGGAAUGCUAUGCACACUUUUUGGAUACAGGAAGUGAGAUUCAGAGGGGUUAAACAGCUUUCCUAAAGCCACACAGCGAGAGAGUCGAUCUGAACUGAAGAUUGUUUGACAUCAAAGCUCAUUUCUUUCCCUAAAUGUCAGCAUUCUUUCCUGACUUAUUAAUUUGAUUUCUGUCCUCCCCUCAUGGAAGUUAAUUAAAGGAAUGCGAGAACCUUUUAGAAAAUCUCCAGGGCAGCUUCUGUGUUGAUCAUUGUUUCACAAUCUCUUUUCCACCCAAUCCCCACCAGCCCUUUAGAUCUGUUUCUGUUAGGCCACAUCCCAGAGCUGCACAGAUCAGGGGAGAGAGAGCUCGCCGCUAAGGCAAGUCCUCUGUCAAAUGCAACAGGGACGAGGAAACCAUGCGCUCGCCUGUGGUUUACUAUGUGCCAGGAACUGUGUGGAUUGCUUAACAAAAAUCAACUUAGCUAAUCCUCAUAGUAAUGACACAAGGCAGGCAGGGUUUUGUUGUUGUUGUUUUUGGAGACUGAGUCUCGCUCUGUCUCCCAGGCUGGAGUGCAGUGGUGCGAUCUCCGCUCGCUGCAAGCUCCGCCUGUCAGGUUCACUCCAUUCUCCUGCCUCAGACUCCCGAGUAGCUGGGACCACAGGCGCCCACCACCACACCCGGCUAAUUCUUUUGUGUUUUUAUUAGAGACGGAGUUUCAC
rnacentral:lncRNA from 1 species